GGGGCAUCCUUGCAGCAAUUGAUGUAUUUUCUCAAAGUUUUCUUGUUGGGAUAUUUUUCCUGAUUGGAUUCGGGUUCUUUUGCUUGGAAUCACUCUUGAGUUUGUGGGUUCUUCAGGUGUAUUUUGGAGGGAAACGAGCUGGAAUUCUACAUGAAGAAAAUCCAUGAGAAGGGGAAUGUUGCUGUAGAAUAUGUAGAAUCAUUAUCAGGCCGACAUUUUCUAUUUUUCUUUUUGAUUGUCUAAUCCCACAACCAUUGGGGAUUUGAUGUGGUACCUUUAUGUUCAGGUCACCUCUAGUUAAACUCUGACUCCCAUUUUGUACUAUGUUCUUUUGAAUGUUUGUGCUGAAAAAUUAUGGAGGCUAGUACCUAGUACCAAUGCAUUCAGUAAAUUUUUUUUGCUAAAUAAAUGUACUAU